CAACUUUCAACAACGGAUCUCUUGGUUCCGGCAUCGAUGAAGAACGCAGCGAAAUGCGAUAAGUAAUGUGAAUUGCAGAAUUCCGCGAAUCAUCGAAUCUUUGAACGCACAUUGCGCCCCCUGGCAUUCCGGGGGGCAUGCCUGUCCGAGCGUCAUCGCAGCCCUCCGGCCCGGCCGGGUGUUGGGCGUCGCGGCCCCGCGCGCCCCAAAGUCCUUCCGGCCCGGCUGCCUGUCCCCUGGCGUUGCGGCGACCAACCCGCGUGGGGGAGGGGCUGGCCGCGGCCGUGGCGUAUUUUCCCGAG
rnacentral:rRNA from 1 species